GGUUGGUGGCUCAGUGGUAGAGCGCUUGCCUAGCACUUGGGAGGCACUGGGUUCGAUUCUCAGCACCA
rnacentral:tRNA from 1 species